rnacentral:rRNA from 1 species
UACGGAGGGGGCGAGCGUUAUUCGGAAUUAUUGGGCGUAAAGGGCGCGUAGGCGGCUGGGCAAGUCAAAGGUGAAAUCCCUCGGCUCAACUGAGGAACUGCCUUUGAAACUGCCUGGCUUGAGGCCGGGAGGGGGUAGCGGAAUUCCCAGUGUAGCGGUGAAAUGCGUAGAUAUCGGGAGGAACACCUGUGGCGAAAGCGGCGCACUGGACCACAACUGACGCUGAGGCGCGAAAGCUAGGGGAGCAAACAGG